rnacentral:rRNA from 1 species
GUAGGAUAAGCUAAGCACACUGUUGGUUAUGUGUGCCCAAGCAUUGAGGCAGUCAAAGUAGGCAAAUCCGCUUUGAUAAUGCUGGGAUGUGAUGGGGAGCGAAAUUUAGUAGCGAAGUAGCUGAUUUCACACUGUCAAGAAAAGUCUCUAUCGAGGUUAAAGGUACCCGUACCGCAAACCGACACAGGUGGGUGAGGAGAGUAUCCUAAGGCCAGCGAGAGAACUGUUGUUAAGGAACUCGGCAAAAUGACCCCGUAACUUAGGGAUAAGGGGUGCCACCAUCAGGUGGCCGCAGAGAAUAGGCCCAAGCGACUGUUUACCAAAAACAUAGGUUUCUGCUAAGUCGCAAGACGAUGUAUAGGAGCUGACGCCUGCCCGGUGCUGGAAGGUUAAGGGGAUCUGUUAGAGCAAUCGAAGCAGUGAACUUAAGCCCCAGUAAACGGCGGCCGUAACUAUAACGGUCCUAAGGUAGCGAAAUUCCUUGUCGGGUAAGUUCCGACCCGCACGAAAGGCGUAACGAUUUGGGCACUGUCUCAACAACAGACUCGGUGAAAUUGUAAUUCCGGUGAAGAUGCCGGAUACCUGCGACAGGACGGAAAGACCCCAUGGAGCUUUACUGUAGCUUGACAUUGGGUCUUGGUACUACAUGUACAGGAUAGGUGGGAGGCUUUGAAACCAGGACGCCAGUUUUGGCGGAGCCAUCCUUGGGAUACCACCCUUGUAGUACUGGGACUCUAACCAUAGGCCAUGAAUC